AGGGAAUAUUGCGCAAUGGACGGAAGUCUGACGCAGCGACGCCGCGUGAGCGAUGAAGGUCUUCGGAUCGUAAAGCUCUGUCAUUGGGGAAGAAAGUGACGGUACCCGAGGAACAAGCCACGGCUAACUACGUGCCAGCAGCCGCGGUAAUACGUAGGGGGCGAGCGUUGUCCGGAAUUACUGGGCGUAAAGGGUGCGUAGGCGGCCCUUUAAGUCGGAUGUGAAAGCCCGCGGCUUAACCGCGGAAUGGCAUUCGAAACUGGAGGGCUUGAGUGUCGGAGAGGGUAGUGGAAUUCCCAGUGUAGCGGUGAAAUGCGUAGAUAUUGGGAGGAACACCAGUGGCGAAGGCGACUACCUGGACGAUAACUGACGCUGAGGCACGAAAGCUAGGGGAGCAAACA
rnacentral:rRNA from 1 species